rnacentral:rRNA from 1 species
GACGAACGCUGGCGGCGUGCUUAACACAUGCAAGUCGAACGGAAGGACCCUGAUCUUGUGGGGUGCUCGUGUGGCGCACGGGUGAGUAACACGCGUGUAAACCGCACUUGUCUUUGGGAUAACUUCAGGAAACUGGGGCUCUUACCGGGUAGGAUCUCCUGCUGCACGGGGGGGGUUGGAGAGUUUCGGCGGUUGGGGAUGGACUCGAGGCUUAUCAGCUUGUUGGUGGGGUAGUGGCUUACCAAGUCUUUGACGGGUAGCCGGCCUGAGAGGGUGACCGGCCACAUGAGGACUGAGAGACGGCGCAGACUCCUACGGGAGGCAGCAGUGGGGAAUAUUGCACAAUGGGGGGAAGCCUGAUGCAGCAACGCCGCGUGCGGGAUGACGGGCUUCGGGUUGUAAACCGCUUUCUCCUGUGACGAAGCGUGAGUGACGGUAAUGGGUAAAGAAGCACCGGCUAACUACGUG